GACGAACGCUGGCGGCGUGCCUAAUACAUGCAAGUCGAACGGAAGGAUGGGAGCUAGCUCCCCGAGCGUCAGCAGCGGACGGGUGAGUAAAACGUGGGCAAAAUGCCUGUAAGACUGGGAUAACACCGGGAAACAGGGGCUAAUAACGGAGAACACUUUCGCACAAAAGAGGAAAAGCUGAAAAAAGGCAGCUCACUAACACAUAGAGGUGAGAACGCGGCGCAUUAGCUAGUUGGUGAGGUAAGGGAACACCAAGGCAAGGAUGCGAAGACGAGCUGAGGGCGUGAUCGACCACCCUGGCUCUGAGACUCGGCCCAGACUCCUACGCUAGGCCGCAGUAGGGACUCCUCCGCGAUGGACGAGUGUCUGACGUUGCAACGCCGCGUGAGUCAUGAUGGUUUUCCGAUCCUAAAGCUCUGUUGUCAGUGAAGAACUAGUACCGUAGUAACUGCCGGUACCUUGACGGUACCUGAGCAGAAAGCCACGGCUAACUACGUG
rnacentral:rRNA from 1 species